UCGACGCUUCUUUUUCCACCGGAGCUUGCUCCACCGGAAAAAGAGGAGUGGCGAACGGGUGAGUAACACGUGGGUAACCUGCCCAUCAGAAGGGGAUAACACUUGGAAACAGGUGCUAAUACCGUAUAACAAUCGAAACCGCAUGGUUUUGAUUUGAAAGGCGCUUUCGGGUGUCACUGAUGGAUGGACCCGCGGUGCAUUAGCUAGUUGGUGAGGUAACGGCUCACCAAGGCCACGAUGCAUAGCCGACCUGAGAGGGUGAUCGGCCACAUUGGGACUGAGACACGGCCCAAACUCCUACGGGAGGCAGCAGUAGGGAAUCUUCGGCAAUGGACGAGAGUCUGACCGAGCAACGCCGCGUGAGUGAAGAAGGUUUUCGGAUCGUAAAACUCUGUUGUUAGAGAAGAACAAGGAUGAGAGUAACUGUUCAUCCCUUGACGGCAUCUAACCAGAAAGCCACGGCUAACUACGUGCCAGCAGCCGCGGUAAUACGUAGGUGGCAAGCGUUGUCCGGAUUUAUUGGGCGUAAAGCGAGCGCAGGCGGUUUCUUAAGUCUGAUGUGAAAGCCCCCGGCUCAACCGGGGAGGGUCAUUGGAAACUGGGAGACUUGAGUGCAGAAGAGGAGAGUGGAAUUCCAUGUGUAGCGGUGAAA
rnacentral:rRNA from 1 species